UACGAAGGGUGCUAGCGUUGUUCGGCUUUACUGGGCGUAAAGCGCACGUAGGCGGAUCGUUAAGUCGGGGGUGAAAUCCUGGGGCUCAACCCCAGAACUGCCUUCGAUACUGGCGAUCUCGAGUCCGGAAGAGGUGAGUGGAACUCCUAGUGUAGAGGUGGAAUUCGUAGAUAUUAGGAAGAACACCAGUGGCGAAGGCGGCUCACUGGUCCGGUACUGACGCUGAGGUGCGAAAGCGUGGGGAGCAAACAGG
rnacentral:rRNA from 1 species